rnacentral:lncRNA from 1 species
AUUUAUUUAUUUAUUUAUUUAUUUAAAAUAGAACAUGACACUCCCAAGACAUAUCUUUCCGGUUUUUAAAUGUUCGAGGUAAAAGCUUCGUCGUGAAAUGUCUUAUUUAUUGUAGUGCUUCUGAAUUUAAUCGUGACACUGUUUCUAUUAACGAAUUGAGGUUGAUGAGCUUGUAUUAAGAUGCCUUAAAAAGUUCAAGCAUUUUGUUGCAAGUUGUUGCAUAUUCGGAUUCCCACAAAACUUCAAUUGGCAAAACAAUGCAUUAUUCACGGUGCGCAUAACAUGGUUUGCAGUAUCUCCUUCAAAAUCACAUUUGUUCUUAUCCUGUAGAAUCAACUCGACGGUAUGGGAAAAAGUAUCUGUUUGGAUAGGUUAUGUUUUCGUUUUCGAGGAGACUUCUAUCCCCUCGAACUUGUUGCUCUUUUGUUACUCGAUCAAGUGAAAUUUCGCAGAAAAUACAUACUCCUUUUUCAGGUGCAUCGUCAGGAACUCGAUUUUAUUUAAGUGUGGACUCUUAGAUAAUAUGUACAUUGUUUUGUGUAUUAAGCAGAUAUCAUGGGAGUGGUAGCAAACUAAGUUUAAGUAUUUUAUGGCACACUCGUGGAGGAGCGGGAAUCUAAUCUGAGAUCAUGUUUUGUUUCUUAGUAGAUUUGUCGUGUGUAUCUUGCUCUGGUUUCCUUUGUUUUUAGGGUUGAGUACCAUUAUAUUCAUUCUAAUUCAAUUUGAUUAUAAAAUGAACAGCAAAAAUAAAUAAAACUAAGAACAUGAAUUACAU